CCAUUAGCCUGUGGAUAGUGGGGGCUGGAUGUUACAUGCCCAAAGUUAUACGUUUCGCUGAAUUGCCUGAACUCUGCCGAAGUGAACUGGGUACCGUUAUCUGAUACCAGCUCGAGUGGGAUCCCCCACCUGACAAACAUGCUCUUUAACCGAGAAAUAACUUGCUGGCUACUCAUGGUCUUUUAUUUGUGUUUUUGUGUAUGCAUGAUGUAUCUGUGUGUGAGUUUAUGUGCUACUGAGCCACAAGGAGGUGGAGGAGGACAUCUGAUGAGGAGGUGCAGGAGGAAAGGAGCCAGUGAUGAGGAGGUGCAGGAGGAGGAGGUGAACCUGUGAUGAGGAGGUGCAGGAGGAGGAGGAGGUGAACCUGUGAUGAGGAGGAGGAGGAGGAGGAGGUGAACCUGUGAUGAGGAGGAGGUGAACCUGUGAUGACGAGGAGGAGGAGGUGAACCUGUGAUGAGGAGGUGCAGGAGGAGGUGAACAGGAGCUCCAGGUGAUUCACGGUGGAUGGAUGAAGCAUCCCAGCCUGCACCUCGUCCUCCUCCUCUCUGCUGCCAGGGAGGAGAACACCCAGAGGUGGGGGGGGGGGUGUAGGGUGUGCCCCCCUGAGUCUUCAGACUCCCCGCCUAUCAACCGGCACUUUGGUCCGGUGGAAUGUGUUACAUCACAGACUGAUUUCAUAAUGCUAUCUCUCUCUGUCUCCC
ensembl:lncRNA